UCCCUGCACACGAGAAACAUUUCUAAAAAGCAGCCUCGGAUUAAAAGAAAAGAGACAGUUGAUGCUGCUCUCCAGUGUUAUAAAAGGCUUGUCGCUUUAUCACUGCUGCAUACUUGCAAUUUGAUGCCAUUAAUUUAAAAAACCUCUUUACUUCUCACUUUCAGGUGAGCCCCGAACUCGGCUUAGGGAAGGGGCUGCUCUUUAUGCAUCCAGAAAACAUCAAAGCGGCGGUUUCCUAAUGAAGUCCCAGCAAAGGCAGUCGGGUUAGGAAACGUUAGCGCAGCCUGGAGACUGCGUGCAGCACACGUGCCAGGUAAAGAAGUCGGAGCUGAAUGUACUUACGUCACAGCACAGAUCGAAGGGCCUGACUCUGAGACCUUGGUAUAACAGUAAAAUGUCAGAUUUCCAGUUCUUAAGUAGAGAACAACAAACAUCAUCCUUUUUAUUAUUUCUGCUGUAUGUUUAGUGCAUGUACUUGUGUUUAAACCACAGUUCAGUGACACUAAAAGCUGAUUAUGUAUCUAGCAGUUGGACUUGUUUUUGUUUUAACUAUUUUACAUUUACAUUUCCUACCUGGCCUCUGAAGACAUUUGAAGCUGAUUUUAUUAUUCUCAUUUUAUAGAAAGAAAAUUAAGGCAGAGCUAUUUGAAGUAAUUUCCCAAAGGCACAAAAGAAGAAUGAGGUUGCAACCUUUGGUUGCUUGUUUCACAAGAUGACCGUGACGGUAGUGCUAGAAACCCAGGAAUUGGAAGCAGAAGACUGCGAAGUUUGAGGAGAAGCAGUGCGUUCUUCCCUAAGAUGGGGUCCAGGGAAAUAAAAUGUGGAGGAUAGCCUGUCUCUAGCUUCUGGGAUUUAACAGCAUCAGUGUGAUUCAGCAUACCACUCUUUUCUAUAGGCAGUUUUUACAAAGGGACCUCAUAGGCAAUUAUUCUGGAAACUCCAGAGCACAGUUGGGGAAAAAAAAAAAAAAAAAAAGCAGGAAUACUAUGUGAAUCUCUUUAUUGAAGAUCCAAGAGCGGAACGGCCUCUAUGGAAGCCAUAGGGACCAAUACGAACUGGACAUUUGAAUUUUUAAUGCCUAUUCUAAAAAUGUUUAGGUUUUGAAGCAGGUUGGCAUCUGCAAGGCAGCUUUACCUACAAAAGGCAAAAAGUUCUAGUUAAGAAGUGAUGACAGUGAGAAGCCCACACCCAGCUGAACAACUGGUUAUAAUACUAAAAAAAAAAAAAAAAAAUCAACCAACACUGGCUUAGAAUGGCCUCCCAGGCUCUUUCCUCGCCAAUGACUCCUGUCCUUUCCUCACCACUUUGUAUCUUUUUACUGUUCGACACCACUUCUGCCCUCUUUCUCCAGCUCUUUCUGUUCUUCACUGCCCUUUCUGUAUUUACUGAAAGAUGUUUUCUUUGAUCCUGGUGUUUGUUAUACUUGUUGAAUACAUUGUCAGUUUCCCUGUUGUUCAUUUUUAAAUAUUGGUUAGAGACUUACAACAUCUUUUAAAAACUGAAGUCCUUUCCUUCUACGUAUGUCAUAUCAAGCCAUUCUUUUUCUUCCAAUGAUUCAAUGAUCUGCAAUGAACAUCAUUCCCCUGCCUUAUCUCUUCUCUUCCAAACUCCUACCAUCGUGAUUGGCAUUCGCCCUCCUGCUGUUAGCAGCACUACUUUUUCUCAGGCCACCCUAUUUCCAGGGAGAUCGUAGAGAGAAAUGCAAACGUGUAAGACUAGGUGGUGGCACAAGUACACCCGCAGUCACAGCGAUUCACUUCUGUGAAUGUCACUGAGAUCUUUGGAAUUCCAUAGGAAACAAUGGAAGCAAAGUCCUGCCUCCCAGAAGCCAGCCCCAAAGAAAUGCCAUCCUACCACUGGAGCUGUUGAAGUAAAGAGGGCGCAGGCACUGUGAGUGCCAUAUAGUAAGUCCUCCGAGGGAGCAGCUCCCGGUGUGGCGAGGGGUGUGAGGCGUCCUCACUGGGACAGAGAACACCGUGCCCCUUGAUGCGUCCCAACACCGACACUGGAAUUGUCGGCAUCACCACAGCAUCAAGAACAGACUGCUAAUCUUCCCAAACCUGUCAUGGAGAGCCAAAUCUGCCACAGUGUCAUUUGUGCAAGGGUAAUGACAUCAUAUUUUAUGUCAUUUGCAGCCUAUCUUAGGUUGUGAUUACAUGCACAGAAAGGAAGAAAAAAGCAACAGAAAGUACACUUGGCAGGAAUUACGGCACUGGCUGAGUUCUAGCUGUCCCCUCCUCGAAAACAUCUUUCAGUUUCACAAUGAGCCACUGCUGACUGCUUCCUAAUGCUGCCAAGUACUAAGAUGUGAGGCUGCAAGGGUUCCUGGGUCCCUUUUCUUGUGACUUCUCAGGCAUUUGAAAUAUUGCUGUGAACGUGACCGAAACCAGCCUCCGUCAACACUAUUCCCUACACUUGAGAAACGGUGUUUCCUGAGGUUUGGCUAAAGAGAAAAUGCAAUCAAUCAAUAGAAUGUUUAAGUGCUAAUAUUUUAUAAAAUACUGAGGAAAAGAAAACUUUACGUGAGUAUAAAAACUCAGUUUACUUAUAAACCCACGACAGCACUGUAUUAGAACUACUGGUCCUUUAUUAGCUGAGUAGCAAUGGUACACUGUAGUCAGGGCAAGGGAAGAGGGGACAUAUAUUUGUGUCUGUAAGUACAUCCAUGUUAGAACGGUUUUUCAUCUUCCCUGGGACAUAUUCCAAGUCAGAUGUCAAAGGGCAGCUGUUUUACGCCAGAUGUUUUUGGAGAUCGCCAGCGUACAUUUAGAUUGAGAGUCAAGACACAGGAAUUUUAAAAACAUAAAAUAGCUCUUUUAUGAUGCAUUUAAAUUAAUUUCUUCUAGUAUUUAGGAUAAAAGGAAGAACAGAUGGUGAAGAUUUAGUUUAAAGUGAGAGCCAUUAAAAUAAUCUUAGCCAGAAAGAGAGUUUUUCAUAACAGGAAUACAUGAACCAUAAGAUUUUAAGCAAAUUUUUUAAUGGUCCAUACAAUAAGAGACUAUAUCAUUUCAAUUAUAUUUCAUACACUAAACUGAUAUGUAAUAAAUACAUUCAGGAUUUCCAUAUUAUGUUAGAGUACUAAAAAUGGUGAAAUGUCAAAAAAGGAGUAACUGAAAAAAGAUAAAACUAUACAUUGUUUUCUUCAAGAGUACUCUCAGAUUUUAUAAUUUUUCAGUUUUAAAUCUCCAAUCAUUAGUCCCCAUAUUUAUAUAAUUUGUAUAUGUCAUAUAUUCAUGGACAGAAAAGUAAGACAUUUUAAUGCAGUAAUGUUAUUUAUGACUUCUGGACUUUAAAUUAUCUAGUUCCUUCCUUUACAUUGCACGUUUUUAAAAGAGGAUGGGAGCAAUUCACAUAAUUUCCAUUGAUAAAGUGAUCUGUACCUCCAAAUAUGGCAAACAAUUCCUUAGAAAUCCAUAAAAAAGUGUGUAUGUACAUAAUUUCACAUACAUACACUUAACAGUACUUUCAACCCCCUUCACACACAGGACACAUGCAUUGUAUCAAGAAGACUCUUACCGCGUGACACAAACCCUACAGCUGUUAAACUUCAAAUGCUGAGUCAGUAAUUUUCCGCUAACAGGUUCUGACAACAGUGAUAAUCUCAUUGAUAACACCCAGUGAGAGAACGAUUGUUAGUGAUGGUAACGGAGCCAGAGUUUGAUGAAGGUGUCUGGGGCUGGCCCCGUAAUAAUAGCUCAGGCAUAAAGUUUAAACCUCUUUAUUGCGUAGGUGACCCCAAAUAAA